CCUACGGGAGGCAGCAGUGAGGACUAUUGGUCAAUGGGCGUAAGCCUGAACCAGCCAAGUCGCGUGAGGGAAUAAUGCCCUACGGGUCGUAAACCUCUUUUGCCGGGGAGCCAGGGCCGGGCCGAGUCCCGGUCCGGAGAGUACCCGGAGAAAAAGCAUCGGCUAACUCCGUGCCAGCAGCCGCGGUAAUACGGAGGAUGCGAGCGUUAUCCGGAUUUAUUGGGUUUAACGGGUGCGUAGUCGGGCUUUUAAGUCAGCGGUAAAAAUUCGGGGCUCAACCCCGUCCGGCCGUUGAAACUGGGGGCCUUGAGUGGGCGAGAGGAAGGCGGAAUGCGUGGUGUAGCGGUGAAAUGCAUAGAUAUCACGCAGAACCCCGAUUGCGAAGGCAGCAUUCCGGCGCCCUACUGACGCUGAGGCACGAAAGUGCGGGGAUCGAACAGGAUUAGAUACCCUUGUAGUC
rnacentral:rRNA from 1 species